CCUUCAACUAACAUCCACAUGGAUUCACUCUCUCAUCCUCUCAUUGUUGGAAUUGGUGUUCUCGAAAUUAUGCAAUCAGAUCGUCAUUGUUGGAAUUGGUGUUCUCGGAAUUAUGCAAUCGGAUCUAUCUUACGGUAGGGCUUUAUAAAAGCGCGAGAUGCUCUGAGGCGUUUAUGUUUCAUAAGCCGAGGCGCAAGGCAUGCGCAUCACUUUUGAUACAGAUAUACGUGAGGCGCUUUCUUGAUUGUCUCAUGCGCCUUGCAUACCAGGCGCGCGUUUUUAAACACAUGAGCAUUGUUAUCAGCUUUAAAGUUAUGUGAUCUUGGCAUCAUGUCCAAUAUACUACAACUAGAUCUUAAAUUUGUGUUCUCGUAAUUGUUUCUAUGUAUUUUUCUUGCACACCCCAAAAAUGAUUUAGUAAAUUAUCUACUUUUUCUUUUUUAGCUCUCGUGUGUAUGAUGUGGAUACAAACUAUCAUAAUUUGUCAACGAAGAUGCUGGACCUUAAAGACCAAGCUUUCGUUGGCGAAGAUAACUGUGUUAUCUUGACAUCAUGUCGAAGUUCUCGCGUGCAUGAUGUGGAUACUAAGUAUCAUAAUUUGUCAACGAAGGUGCAUAUACUGUCAUGUAGUUUUACACUGGACCUUGAAGACCAAACUUUCGUUGGCGAAGCUAACUGUGUUUUGUCAGAAGAUAACCCUCAAGCUAGAGUGUUUUGAUUUCAAUAGCAAUGACAACCACCCGCUAAUUGUUGAUUUAUAGACACUAGUCAUACAAAUACAAUGCAUCUUGAUGAUGAAAGGGGGCGAUUUAGUAUAAGAAACGAGACCUCAAAAUGAAUCUCAAGGUUUAAAGACGCAAGAGAACAAAAAAUUUAAACUUACUUCGAGUGUUUGGAAGAGUUUUAUAUUAUAAAAUAUGGUAAAAAAUACUCGGCACCCAGUAAAAAUUGUAGCAGUAACUUACUUCGCUAUCAAAGAGCGUGUGUAAUAUUGACAACAAAACAUAUUGGUCAUAUGUUUUGUUCUAGCAAAGGUGUUUAAGACACAAGAAAUCUAAAACUUAAUCAAGAACAUUUUAGGGAGUUAUUGGUUCAUGCAAUAGUUAGACAUGAUCUGCCAAUAGCUAGACAUUAGCUACAUGAUCUAGAAGGUCAUACAAGAACAUAGUAAAGCUCAUAGAUCCUCUGCUCAAGGUUCAUCUUCUCAAGCUCAAGGUCAUUUUCAAUUUGUAAAUGGUGGAAUCUACUAACUUGUAUUCAUUUCUUGAUGUAAGAAGAGAUUGAUUUGUUUAAUUAAACUUUCGUGUGUGUAUUGUAGCAUCUAUAAUCAGUUUUUUUGUUAGUAAAGACGCAACGUUUGAGUAUUG